AUACCAAUACUCUCUCCGACAAGAAUACAAGCUUUAGAUAAGCGAGCACAAAGACCCGUUCCUUUCAAACGCGUUAGCGUGCAAAUACCCCUUGUUGAAAUUCUGACAUAUAUUCGUUUAUGUUCCAGUGUGUUUAUCAAUCAACCGAUAGACGCUAACUAAGGAGUGUUCCCUCUGCUACCAAGACGCAAGAUAGAAGGUAAAAAGGAAACCGUUCAAGACGAAAGGCCAUGUGUUAGGGUGGAUUUAGCCUUAGUUUGCUUUUAUAACAAAGUGUCCAGCAAUUCAUAAUGAUUUGUACAAUAAACAAGCCAAACUAAA
rnacentral:lncRNA from 1 species